rnacentral:lncRNA from 1 species
UAAGGUGUAGACUGUGGGCAUUUAAGGUGUAGACUGUGGGCAUUUAAGGUGUAGACUGCGGGCAUUUGAAUUCAUCUCAAGCGUAGUUUUCGGCUGUAUUUUAUCCAAGUCAAAACCACUUUAUUUGUUUUGUACUCGACUACACUUUUACUCAGUGUUAGCACCUAUGAUUUAUAAUACACAGAAAGCAAAGGAUAAGAGAGUGGAGAGCAUCUUAUAAGCGUUUGCUACAAGGAAAUUAAAAGAAAAAAGAAAUCCCAGAUUGCAUAUCCGACCUUCUAUAGGCGAGUGCGUCUAACAAGCGAAAAUAUACGAUAAACCUGAAAAUGUUCGAUUUUGAAAUAAAACAAGAGCUGUCAAAGGAGACAGCAUGCUCGACUAUUUCGAUGCUGGAUAGUGAAACUGGGCACAUCUGAGGAAGCUGGAGCUGUCACUUGAGUGUUUGAUGACUCCAAUGGUGGAAGAAGAUAAUGACUCAAACUGUGGAUGAAAAUAUUGCCAUAGACAAUAGUUUGAGUCUGUGUCAAAAAUGUAGGUAACAACAGAGAUAAAGAUAAAGUUCAUCAAAACACUAAAUAAGUAUAAUUCGAAAUCAAAGAGGGUAUAAUUCAUAAAAUAUUUGUGCAAGUGUUAUGCACCUUGUAUGCGGGUAGUAAUGUGGAAUAACUCUUUUAAGUUUGAAUCAAAUCCAUUUAGUAAUAAGCGAGAUAGAGUGAAAGUGUAUCAAAACUUUAACCUGAAAUUCUAUGUAAAAAGGGGAUAAUUCAUGAAAUAUAGGUGCAAGAGUCAUGUCCCUUUUGUAAUAUGAUGUGAGUGAUGAUGUUAAACAAAUCCAUUUAGUAAUAACUGAGAGAAUGAAAGUGCAUCAAAACUUAACCUGAAAUUCCAAGUAAAAGGGGGCAUAAUUCAUUACAUAUUUGUACCAGAGUUACGUGCCUAGUGUCAUAUGAUGUGGGAGAUGAUGUGAAACAACUAGUUUAAGUUUGAAUCAAAUCCAUUAACAAUAACUGAGAUAGAAAGUACAUCAAAACUUUAACUUGAAAUUUUAAGUAAAAAGGGGGAUCAUUCAUGAAAUCUUGUGAGUGUUACGACCCUUAUGUCAUAUGAUGUGGGUGGUGAUGAGGAAUCGCUGUUUUAAGUUUGAAAUAAACCCAUAAAGUAAUUACAGAGGUAAAGAGAGAAUGCAUCAACCAAGGUGCGGACGCGGAAGGACGCCGACGCCGGUUCGAGUAGGACAGCUCUCCAUACUUCGUAUAAUCGAGCUAACGAACGGUGUUUUUCUGCUUAAAGUCUUUAUUUCAAGUCAGAAUACCCUGCAACUGUUCAAUCUGGAAAUGGAACUAGUGUGUUUAUUUGCAUAAAGUUUUUCUUGACAGGUCAAACUACACUGUAAAUAUUUAGUUCGGAAAUGUCUAGUGGUGUUUAUUUGCAUAUUAAAGUCUUUCUUGACAGGCCAGACUACACUGCAAAUGUUUAGUUCGGAAUAAUUUUGCACGAAUGUUUCGUAUGUCGUGAGAUUCAACCUUUACCCUUCUAAAUAUCUAAAAGGUGCUGGUCCAUUAUUCAAUUUUGGUAGUUCCGCUUAUUAUUCAAAGAGAUAUUCACUGAAAAAAUCACUGACUAAAUGGCGAAAAAUGCCUAUCAUGAUCAGCCUGCAGGCUGAUCUUGGUCUGCACUGGUCGUAAAGGCAGAAUCACUUGCCGGUAGCAGGCUUAAGGUUAGGUGAUUGUGAAACAUUUCAAUGUCUGUUUGAAAUGUAUGUAUACGUUAAUCAAAAAGUUAACUUAAAUGUUCUUUCACAUAUAAUAUUUUACCCUGCAGAAUUUGAAUAAACCCUGAUUUUUCAAAAAUUCAGAAAAAAAAAUAAAAAUAAAUAAUCUGAUUUAAAAUAAGAAAGAUAUGGCCACGUACAUGAUUUUAAAAUUUAGAUCUCAAGUUAGUUUUAAUGGGCAUAUACUUGAAGAAAAUCACACUUUUGGGGGAAAAAAGGAUACAUAGGACAUUCAAACCCGGACUGAAAUCUAGAACAACACUGUGCCUAGAGCGACAUUACACAUUCGAAAGGAGAAAUACAUUGGAUAUUAAUAGCCAGAACGACAUUGAACAUUCGAUAAAAAAGACACUGGACAUUGUCGUCCUAAGUUUGAAUUUCAAAUACGGUAUCUUUCGGGGUUAAGAUGUCUAAUAUCAACUUAUUUUGAAUGUCCAAUGUCGAAUGUUUAACUUCUCACCAACUUCGCGAUUGGUAUGUUCAGAAUUGUUCUUGAUUCGAAUGUCCAAUGUUAUUCUAGGUUUGAAUGCCCGGUGUUGACAUAUCUGUAUGACAUAAUAAGCCAGUUUUCGUAUUAGUUUGAUAAAGCCAUAAACAGUUCACAUAAUUAUACGUCUCAAAGAAAACAUUAUUCGAAGCCAAGAUGAUAUAUAAUUUUGAAAUGAUAAAUUGCAUAGUAAUUUGAUAGUACAAUACACUAUAUAGACCAUGUCGGCAGUAUAUAAGGCAGUGGCGGCGUUCCAUAACAUUCGUUUUGGUUAUAUCGAGUGUUUAAAGGCGUGCACGUGAUACUAUUGUUAGAUAGGCUAUUAUUGUGAGUAUCGUUGUACUUUGAUGAUUUAGAUAAAGAUU